rnacentral:lncRNA from 7 species
GUGCCGGCCGCACCUGCCUGCGGGGCUCCAGUUCUGCCUGGGGCAGCUCCUCCCGCUCAGUCGUCGUGGAACUUCGGGAGGUUCGGGACCUGCGAACGGCGAGGUGAGAAAACGGAUUGGAUUGUUCAGAAUGAGGAGGAAGCUACAAACAAAUUAUUCAGACACUGUUACAAACAGCAGCAAUCACAGUAUACGGCCACCUGUAAGAAAGCCGUGGGCUGGAAGGAGUCAAGGAGAACUUUCUGGAUUUUCCUUAAAAUGUUUCCUCGAGGAGAACUGAUCUGUAAAUUGGAGUAUGCUGCUGUUCAGGCAUCCAGUUGAAUCUUACUCAAGUCUUAGGAUGGAGCUGCUCUUACUGAUAUGCCAUUCUUUUUUCAUGUUGCACUGAUUCAUACCAGUAUUGUCUCUAGUUUUCCAGACCAUCUCAUUCCUAUAUGAAAUGCUGUUUUGCUGGAGGGUUAGAUGUCUCACAUUGUAAGUCCGUUGCUCAUGUCUCUAUCUGAGCAACUACAGAAUUGUGAAGUAAGGGAAUGGGUAAGGUUGGAAAGGACAUUAGCUCAUCUUGUCCAAACUCAACAUUAAUGUUAUUAAAAUGUUUCUUCGCAUACACUUGGCAACACACUUUCCCCGCUUUCCCCACAGAUUUCCUUCCAGUUUGUCUGUAUCUUUCUUGGCUGUGCCAGUUUUUCAAGUAUGGCAAAUUUGGGAUCAACAGUAUGCAGUGAAUACAUUUAAUUAGCUCCGUUGUCCACAAUGAAAUCUUUACUUAAUAUAGUGUAAAAUAAAAAUAACGCUGUUUGCUGCCACAUGAAUUUACAAGUUGAUGUCUAAUUAGGUAUCAGUUCUUCUCCUCAGUUCUUUCCUUGCUUACUUUCAUAACAUCUUUCUGCCAAAAAGCUGUUUUCAUGAGACCUUCUCCCUCUGACCACAGCUUUCCCAACGUCCUAGCUGUUUUUUUGUCCUCAUUUGCUUCAUUGAUUACUGAUGUAUCUAUUCCGUUUGUUACUUUUGAUUAGACUGUCAGGGGUUUUACCUAAAAGCUGAAGUUCUGAUGUGUCCUUUGAGACUUGCCUGUAUUCAUACUGCACUGCCCUGCUACUUAGGCUGGCUGCCAUGAUAAAACAGAGAUCUAUUUCCUCUUUCAUGCUGGUGGAAGGACGUCUAUUUUGAUUAGUUGGGAAACAUGUAUGUGCUCCGUGAGCUAUCCUGUGGACUUCGUUUUUCUUCCUGAAAAUUCACUGGAUGAGAAGAGUUUCUCAGAGAAGAGAAGGGCUGGUCAGGGAAAUACGUGGAGAUGGACAUGUUUGCAUGAGUUUGGCUUGGGGGGAAAAGGGUGGUUUUUUUAUUUCUAUCUACUUAAAUUGCGUUGUUCUUGGUAGUUUAUGAUGUUUUCAUGAUCUUUAAAUUUUGUCUGACUGCACAAGGGUCUUGGAUGUAAUUUGGAAUACAGUUAUUAUGUAAAUAAAUAAUAUCAGGAUUGCAUAG